ensembl:snRNA LOC120095804 U5 spliceosomal RNA
AUACGCUGGUUUCUAUUCAGAUUAUAUAAAUCUUUCACCUUUUAUUAAAGAUUUCCAUGGAGAGGAACAAUUCUGAGUCUUAAAAAUGGAAAU